CAGACUAUGCGGCAGCGGGAACGUUAUAGUUCACGAGGAAAGUCCGAGCAUCACAGAGCAGGAUAGCUGUUAACGGCAGCCGAGGGCGACCUUAGGGCAAGUGCAACAGAGAUAUACUGCCGUCCUUGUGGCGGUGAUGGUGGAAAGGCGAGGUAAGAGCUCACCAGAGUGCGGGAGACCGUACUGCUAUGUAAACCCUAUCCGAUGCAACGUCUAUUGGUGCUUCGUAUCUCAACGUCGGCUCGGCGGAUGCGAAGUAAUGACGGCUUGAGCUUAUCGGCGACGAUAAGAGUAGAUAAAUUGCCGCACACGACAGAACUCGGCUUAUCGGUCUGGUC
rnacentral:RNase_P_RNA from 1 species